rnacentral:lncRNA from 1 species
GCUUAUAGUCCCAGCUACUCAGGAGGCUGAAGUGGGAGGAUCGCUUGAGCCUGGGAGGCAAAGGCUUGCAGUGAGCCCAGAUUGCACCACUGCACUCUAGCCUGGGUGACAGAGUGAGACCAUGUCUCAAAAAAAAAAAAAAAAAAAACCAGACACAUUUCGAUAGAAACAUUACUGCAUAAGGUAUUAAAAUUAUGUGUUAACAUUUGAUCACCAAAGGAAAUAUAAGCAUUAUUGCAUUCUAUCUUUUAGUAUUGUUAAAUUUCUUUAUUUAGUCGAUGUUGUAUUAAAGUUAAA